CCUAGAGCAGCAGAGAGCGGGCGCCGGGGCUACGCGAGCGGGGAGGCCGCGGGAGAAGGCCCCUCGCGUGUGUUUCAGGCAGGAGGCCGAUUUGGUGCAGAUUUGGAAAGGAUGGCGGACGGGCGACCAGCUUGGCUUCCGGACGCGUGACGGCGUUACAAGGGAGCAACAGAUGGUGACAGCAAAGGAGCCAAGGGUAGGCAUCAGUGUCCAGUAUAUCAGCAAUAUGGACAUCAUUGAUACACUUGUAAGCAUGGUGACCCAGAAGGCAAAGCAGCAUUUUUGCUAACAUAUCUGUCCGUGCAUAGGUGCGCCUAAAAGAAGAAAAAGAUAGCACCAGUUACUACUGAGACUAGAAUUGUGCUUGCAACACCAGCACGGAUGGUCUUUCCGGUUCUACCUACUGUUGCGGAUCUAUCAAAGAAGACGAAGAACAAAUCAUCCUCAUCAACUGGUGGGUAAGAAGGAUUGGAAAAAGAUAAUUGCUAACAAUGUUUAAACUAAUAAUGAGGUCAAUUUGACCAUCUUUUAUAUACUCCCUUCAUCCUAAAAUAUAAUUUGUUUUAGAUUAAAUAUAUAUUCAUUAGUCAACAUAUUAAUGUAGUUUGUAUAUAUUUCUACAUUAUUUAUUAUCAUCCAUUCGAACGUGGAUGAAAAAAGAGGGUUAAAAAGAACUAUAUUUUGAGACGGAUGGAGUACAAACAUUUUUAAUCAAGCUGUGUGGAUGAUACUUUUGGACCUCUGCUAUGUCUUAAUAUUUAUUUUAAACACUUAUUUUGGUUGCCACAAACAUGGUUUUCUAUGCACUGCAAAUGUAUGAUGUUUAUUGUAUUUUUUUAUUUGCACAAGCAUAUACUUUCACCGUGGUGUGGUGUCAAGGGAAAAGUAAAAUUUUAACACAUGCUGUUACAGUGGCAU